GAACCUCAUCAGUGAAGUGUCUUGCAUGGUGCCUGGAGUGCUUUGCCUCAUGCCCAAAACCCCUCCUCUCUUUGGAUCGCGCCGUCUGAUGCACAGGAUGUGCAGAACUUGGGAAAUGCUUGUGAUGAGAGUCUCUUUCAUGACGCUUUCUUGAGUCCCGAAAAUGGUGUUGAUGAAUUUCUCUCCUACGCCUAUCAGAACUACCAAGAAAGCCAUCAUUGAACCUGUCAGAG
rnacentral:misc_RNA from 1 species